AAGUCGUAACAAGGUUUCCGUAGGUGAACCUGCGGAAGGGUCAUUAAAAUAAUACUUACACUUUGCAUUUGCGAACAAAAAAGAACAUUACACUUCUAAUAUAUUUUUAUCAAAA
rnacentral:misc_RNA from 1 species